CACAAACAGCACGCCACGUGUCAAUCGGCCAUGAAUCAAACGAAGCAGCAUGAUGUAUGUUCCAGACCGUUAGGCUGCAUCCACCACGCCACAAUUUGGAAAAUUAUGGAAUUGGAUCGAAGUUUCUCGCUCAUCUCUACACAUAUAUGUAUAUGGCUGCUUGGGGGAAGAGAUUAUUUCAGUUGUAUUUCGAAUUUUUGCUAGUGUUUUAGCAGCGAGGUUAACGCAGUUGUGAAGUUUGUAGGCGAUGGUGACGAAGUAUCCGGCGGUGAGCGGAGAGUAUCAGGCGGCGGUGGAGAAAUGCAAGAUGAAAUUAAGAGGUUCAAUCGCCGAGAAGAAAUGCGCUCCGAUUGGCAUGACACUCUGCUGGAACAUAAUCAACAUAUGAUUGGAAAUCGAAAACUGGAGGGCCAUUUGGGACAAUUAGAAACCCGGUUGAGCUUUCUCACGAAGCGAACAAUGGUCUCGACGUUAUUUGGACAAAACAGAACCCCCACCAGAGGGCCGCUUGCCUGAUGCCAAGAAAGAUUUGCGGAAGCCGAGUAAAAUGCGCGUUCGGAGGAUUUGCUGCUGUUUUAGUGUCUGGUAUGUGCAAUCGUUACUUCUCUCCAUAUAUAAAUAUAUUCUCCUUUGCAAAAGUUUUUUAUAAAUGGUAAUAUGGUUUAUUU